rnacentral:rRNA from 1 species
AAUUUUAUUUUAUUAUAUAUAUUUUAUAGUAAAAAAGAAAUUUUAGUUGGGGUGAUUAAGGAAUAAAAAUGAAUGAUGUAACUUCCUUAAAUAUAAAAUUGUUAAAUUAAGUAACCAAUUUAUAUUGCUUAUAAUAGAGUUA